UACGGGGGGGGCAAGCGUUAAUCGGAAUCACUGGGCGUAAAGGGUGCGUAGGCGGUGCAUUAGGUCUGUCGUGAAAUCCCCGGGCUCAACCUGGGAAUGGCGGUGGAAACCGGUGUACUAGAGUAUGGGAGAGGGUGGUGGAAUUCCAGGUGUAGCGGUGAAAUGCGUAGAGAUCUGGAGGAACAUCAGUGGCGAAGGAGGUCACCUGGCCCAAUAAUGACUUUGAGGCACGGAAGCGUGGGGAGCAAACAGG
rnacentral:rRNA from 1 species